rnacentral:rRNA from 1 species
ACGGGUGAGUAACGCGUGGAUAAUCUGCCGUGGUAUCUGGGAUAACAUUUCGAAAGGGGUGCUAAUACCGGAUAAGCCCACGGGGGCUUCGGCUCUUGCGGGAAAAGGUGGGGACCUUCGGGCCUACCGUAUCAUGAUGAGUCCGCGUACCAUUAGCUGGUUGGCGGGGUAACGGCCCACCAAGGCGACGAUGGUUAGCUGGUCUGAGAGGAUGAUCAGCCACACUGGAACUGAGACACGGUCCAGACUCCUACGGGAGGCAGCAGUGGGGAAUUUUGCGCAAUGGGGGAAACCCUGACGCAGCAACGCCGCGUGAGUGAUGAAGGCCUUCGGGUCGUAAAGCUCUGUCAGAGGGAAAGAAGUGUGAGGUGGCUAAUAUCCAUUUUACUUGACGGUACCCUCAAAGGAAGCACCGGCUAACUCCGUGCCAGCAGCCGCGGUAAUACGGAGGGUGCGAGCGUUGUUCGGAAUUAUUGGGCGUAAAGCGCGUGUAGGCGGUUUUUUAAGUCUGAUGUGAAAGCCCUGGGCUCAACCCGGGAAGUGCAUUGGAACUGGGAGACUUGAAUACGGGAGAGGGUAGUGGAAUU